rnacentral:lncRNA from 1 species
AGGGUGGCUGCUUCUGCUUGGUCUGAAUUAGGUUUCUUUGGUCGGGUUCCUAAGAGCACAUGAGAGGCUGUGAACACCCCAGUGAAGAUGAUGAGUCAGGGAGCAGAGGUCUUAGGAGUUGAAGGCUGGGGAACUCAAGGCUUCACCUGGCAUAGUGGCCCAUGCCUGAAUGAUUUGUGGACUCUGGGGGCUUAGCUUUGUAGGGCUUUGGGAAGGGCAACUAUGAGUGGGUGGGAUAAAUUCUCAGUGUCCCUGG